UAUAUUUUAGUGUAAGAAGCACAAUAAUUUUUGACAUUAUUAGGUAUAGUUUAAUUCUAUAAAAUAUAA
rnacentral:tRNA from 1 species